GAUGAACGCUGGCGGCGUGCCUAAUACAUGCAAGUCGAGCGAACAGACGAGGAGCUUGCUCCUCUGACGUUAGCGGCGGACGGGUGAGUAACACGUGGAUAACCUACCUAUAAGACUGGGAUAACUUCGGGAAACCGGAGCUAAUACCGGAUAAUAUAUUGAACCGCAUGGUUCAAUAGUGAAAGACGGUUUUGCUGUCACUUAUAGAUGGAUCCGCGUCGGAUUAGCUAGUUGGUAAGGUAACGGCUUACCAAGGCGACGAUGCGUAGCCGACCUGAGAGGAUGAUCGGCCACACUGGAACUGAGACACGGUCCAGACUCCUACGGGAGGCAGCAGUAGGGAAUCUUCCGCAAUGGGCGAAAGCCUGACGGAGCAACGCCGCGUGAGUGAUGAAGGUCUUCGGAUCGUAAAACUCUGUUAUUAGGGAAGAACAAAUGUGUAAGUAACUAUGCACGUCUUGACGGUACCUAAUCAGAAAGCCACGGCUAACUACGUG
rnacentral:rRNA from 1 species